rnacentral:rRNA from 1 species
CAGGACUUGACAUCCUUCUGACAGGACCUUAACCGGUCCCUCCUUCGGGCAGAAGAGACAGGUGGUGCAUGGUUGUCGUCAGCUCGUGUCGUGAGAUGUUGGGUUAAGUCCCGCAACGAGCGCAACCCUUGUCAUUAGUUGCCAUCAUUUAGUUGGGCACUCUAGUGAGACUGCCGGGGAUAACUCGGAGGAAGGUGGGGACGACGUCAAAUCAUCAUGCCCCUUAUGUCCUGGGCUACACACGUGCUACAAUGGCUGGUACAAAGAGACGCAAGAUCGCGAGGUGGAGCAAAUCUUCAAAACCAGUCCCAGUUCGGAUUGUAGGCUGAAACUCGCCUGCAUGAAGUCGGAGUUGCUAGUAAUCGUGAAUCAGAAUGUCACGGUGAAUGCGUUCCC